rnacentral:lncRNA from 14 species
UGAGCUACCAGAAUACCAUUGCAAAGCUUACUGUAACUCUAAAAGAAAAUCUCUUGUACUGACUGUACAUCUCUGUCUGUGAUGCACUAUGAAAAGGAAUCUGCUUCUCCUGGAAAAAGUUCUGUGCUUUGAAAUGAAGCUUUCCUGGAAUUUUCCACUUGCCCUUCAUGGCUUUCAGGUGGAGCCCCAUCAGGAGCAGCCUUCCUGGAAGUCAGUAGAAAAGAGUAGUAAAAAUGUGAGCAAGAAACGUGCAGUGUACCACAGGGUGGUUUAGGUAAGUCCUUUAAUGCUUUCUGGCAAAUGGUGUUAGUAUGUUUUGUACCUUAGAGCGAUGUGGGGAGCAUAAUGUUAAGGCUGUUUAUCGUGUAAAUACCUAAGAGAAAUAGUAAGUGCACAUUAAAGGCUUUAGCUGUUUCUUUUGACCAUUUACUUUCUGCAGGACAUACUGCAGCGUCUGUAGGAACUGCAACAAUACAGCUAUUCAUAGAACCUGCUGUAGCCUGAUAGUCUCACAAAUAAAUGUGUUCCACUUGUG